GAGAGGUGGUGCAUGGCCGUCGUCAGCUCGUGUCGUGAGAUGUUGGGUUAAGUCCCGUAACGAGCGCAACCCUUGUCCUUAGUUACCAGCACGUUAUGUGGGCACUCUAAGGAGACUGCCGGUGACAAACCGGAGGAAGGUGGGGAUGACGUCAAGUCAUCAUGGCCCUUACGGCCUGGGCUACACACGUGCUACAAUGGUCGGUACAAAGGGUUGCCAAGCCGCGAGGUGGAGCUAAUCCCAUAAAACCGAUCGUAGUCCGGAUCGCAGUCUGCAACUCGACUGCGUGAAGUCGGAAUCGCCAGUAAUCGUGAAUCAGAAUGUCACGGUGAAUACGUUCCCGGGCCUU
rnacentral:rRNA from 1 species